UACGACUACAUAUCAGGCAUAUCAAUAAGCGGAGGAAAAGAAACUAACAAGGAUUCCCUUAGUAACGGCGAGUGAAGCGGGAAGAGCUCAAAUUUGAAAUCUUCAAGGUUUUACCUUGACGAAUUGUAGUUUAAAGAAGUGUUUUCUGUUGAAGUUUUGGUAAAAGUUCUUUGGAAUAGGACAUCAUAGAGGGUGAGAAUCCCGUAUUUGACCAUUAUUUUCAGCUGUGUGAUACACUUUCAAAGAGUCGGAUUGUUUGGGAAUGCAGUCCAAAAUGGGUGGUAAAUUUCAUCUAAAGCUAAAUAUUGGCGAGAGACCGAUAGCGAACAAGUACCGUGAGGGAAAGAUGAAAAGAACUUUGAAAAGAGAGUUAAACAGUACGUGAAAUUGUCAAAAGGGAAGCGUUUGACACCAGUGUUGUUUUUCCGAAAAUCAAUUAAAAAUUGAUUCAUGCCAGGUUGUAUUGACCUUAUCAGCUUGCAAUUUGGUUUUGGGUCUCUUUUUGAUGCACUUUUCGGUUAACAAGUCAACAUCAAUUUCCUUUGCUGUGAAAAGGUAAGAGGAAGGUGGCUUCAAUUUCGGUUGAAGUGUUUAUAGCCUUUUAUCUCUGCAGUCGGGGAGAUUGAGGUCUGCAGCGUAGAUCCUUCGGGGCUAGAUACAUUUAUGCUAAGUUAUAGCUUUUCAUAGACAACUUGUUGACUAUGUUUAGUCUUGUGACUUACCCGCUUAUGCUAUUUUACCUACGCUUAGGAUGUUGAGCGCAUGUCUCUCUCU
rnacentral:rRNA from 1 species